UGGGGAAUAUUGGACAAUGGGGGGAACCCUGAUCCAGCCAUGCCGCGUGUGUGAAGAAGGCCUUAUGGUUGUAAAGCACUUUAAGCGAGGAGGAGGCUACUUUAGUUAAUACCUAGAGAUAGUGGACGUUACUCGCAGAAUAAGCACCGGCUAACUCCGUGCCAGCAGCCGCGGUAAUACGGAGGGUGCAAGCGUUAAUCGGAAUUACUGGGCGUAAAGCGCACGCAGGCGGUCUGUCAAGUCGGAUGUGAAAUCCCCGGGCUCAACCUGGGAACUGCAUUCGAAACUGGCAGGCUAGAGUCUUGUAGAGGGGGGUAGAAUUCCAGGUGUAGCGGUGAAAUGCGUAGAGAUCUGGAGGAAUACCGGUGGCGAAGGCGGCCCCCUGGACAAAGACUGACGCUCAGGUGUGAAAGCGUGGGGGGCAAACAGGAUUAGAUACCCUGGUAGUCCACGCCGUAAACGAUGUCGAUUUGGAGGUUGUGCCCUUGAGGCGUGGCUUCCGGAGCUAACGCGUUAAAUCGACCGCCUGGGGAGUACGGCCGCAAGGUUA
rnacentral:rRNA from 1 species